CAGCCACUCAAUGUUAGUGGUGGGUGUUGUUGUCCUGUUGUCUUUGUCUACUCAGUUCCAGGUUGGAUGGUGUUUUCAAGUUCCAGGUUGGAUGGUGUUUUCAGGUUCCAGGUUGGAUGGUGUUUUCAGGUUCCAGGUUGGAUGGUGUUUUCAGUUCCAGGUUGGAUGAUGUUUUCAGGUUCCAGGUUGGAUGGUGUUUUCAGUUCCAGGUUGGAUGGUGUUUUCAGGUUCCAGGUUGGAUGGUGUUUUCAGUUCCAGGUUGGAUGGUGUUUUCAAGUUCCAGGUUGGAUGGUGUUUUCAGGUUCCAGGUUGGAUGGUGUUUUCAGGUUCCAGGUUGGAUGGUGUUUUCAGGAUCCAGGUUGGAUGGUGUUUUCAGGUUCCAGGUUGGAUGGUGUUUUCAGGUUCCAGGUUGGAUGGUGUUUUCAGGUUCCAGGUUAGAUGGUGAUUUCAGGUUUCAGGUUUGAUGGUGUUUUCAGUUCCAGGUUGGAUGGUGUUUUCAGGAUCCAGGUUGGAUGGUGUUUUCAGGUUCCAGGUUGGAUGGUGUUUUCAGGUUCCAGGUUGGAUGGUGUUUUCAGUUCCAGGUUGGAUGGUGAUUUCAGGUUCCAGGUUGGAUGGUGUUUUCAGUUCCAGGUUGGAUGAGGUUUUCAGUGUUUUCAG
ensembl:lncRNA